UGAUCUCAUAGCAAGGAAAUACGUUGUUUAGGUAACGCUAGAAGGUGGGUAGGACUGUUGUGUGAGGAAAGAAGUUGUUCAUUUGUUCGAUUUCUUGUAUAUUAUAAACUUUUAAUAAUAUGGAAAAUUGAGUAGCAAGAAACUCGAUCUGUUUUGAGAGGAAGGGAUUUUAUGGAAAAAGAAGAGAAGUUUCCGGUUUUGAAGUUGCAAUAUCUAUUUUACUUCAUCGAGUUACGGUGUAAAUCUGACUUGGCAGGACUACGCCUAAGCUUCGACAGACCUUUGUUACUAUUUCACUCCGAGUGAAACUGAAAAACGUCGCCAUAUUGGACAGUUUUAUGUUGAGAGAGGAAAAACUUUUUAACCUUUAACUAAGUCACUCUUAACAUGCUAAUAGUGUUAUAACUUACAUAGUUUCAAGUUCAACAUCUGAAGAUAGAUUGUAAGGAUUCCACGAUUUUAUAGUCGAUUGUGAUUUAAAGAACUACAGUAGGCCACCGAAGUCACAAUGAUACUAGAGACUAGAGUAGAAUAGGAUGAUCAUUUUUAGCAGAAACCUUUUGAGUGACAAACUGGCUGAUGCAGAUGUACCAGAUUUCAUUUGGAAAAUAUUCUAAGUAUUGAGAGACUUUAUGUGUAUUAGACAUGAACAUUUAAACACAUAACAAACCUUACCUCCUAGGUUUACAGUGGCCCAGCAGUAAGUCUGACUGCUUAUAACACUAAAAACUGUGAUCCGAUACUCAUGGUGGGCACAGCACAAGAUGCCCAUAGGGUAGCUGUGUUUAAUAACAACCAAUAUAUAGGAAGGAUAGUGCAAAUCUUAUGCAGCAUACCCAAACCUUUCUGCAGCCAAACAUGAAAAGGUGGUUGCUCACAAUAAAAAAUAGAAUGCAAUACAUCGAUGGGGAAGAAAGCAAAACUGUUCUUGAAGUUAUUAGCAUUCCAGCUCCCAUUUUGAUGUUUGGACACAAAUACAAAGAUGUUAAGGUUUUACACCACACGAUGGGAGAAGGGACUUUAGAGUUACUGUCACAUAUUACAAUAUAUCAAUGGAGUCCUCAAGAAACCAUUCAGCUAUAUACAGCCAGAUUUGAUAAAUCUCCAGUGUACUAGAAGCAAGUGAUUUCCUAAAAUUGUCCUUGUGGUCUUCCUUAACUGAACAAAUACAAGGUCAUUUUAAUAAAUAGAAGCUGGCUAUUCAUCUGAAGGACUGUUUCCUUUUGUGAAUGCUGAUGGUAGUUCUAUCUCUGAGCAGUACAAGGAUGCAGGAAUGGGUCUAGGUUAUUAAGAGACAACUAAGAAGGAUCUAGAAGUAUGUCACACCAUUAUUCUGUACAGUGCAAGAUAUUUGUUAACAUCUUUUGAAUAAAAGUUUUAUAGGUGAAUCUUUUAGCUUAGUUACUGACUCAAGGUUUUAUAUGUGUAUUUUUAUUUACUUAUUUAUUAUUAUUGUAUUUAAAAGCUGAAGCACCCAUCCUACAUCCAGGGGCAUACCAAUUAAAUGUAU